CUCUCUCUCUCUCUCUCUCUCUCUCUCUCUCUCUCUCUCUCUCUCUCUCUCUCUCUCUCUCUCGUGUGUGCAUGUGUGUGUGUGUGUGUGUGUGUGUGUGUGUGUGUGUGUGUGUGUGUGUGUGUGUGUGUGUGUGUGUGUGUGACAUACAUGCUUCAAAACACAAGCAUGGGUUGUUUCAAGAGGAAUGGAGGAUAUUGUUACGUGUGACAUUUAGAAGAAAAUAAUUAUGAAAUAAACUUAUAUGUAUGCUGCUGACCAUUGUAAACAAAAUUUAUGUUGGCAUGCCAUGUUACAUUUGUGAAAAAGUGACAACAGAAUAACAGAACAACACUGAGGAGCUCAACUAGUAAGAAGAAAGUAAAUAUGCAUGAAGUCAUCUAGCCAACCAGUCAUCGGUGGUGUCACCUUAAGCCAACCGACUAGACUCGCUACAGCUUGGCUACAGUCUACUCCCGAAGGUGUAAAAUGGAGUGAGAAAACCUUACAUUUGGUACAGAUUCUCAAGUAAGGACAUGCUCCGCUUAGAUAAGAGCAAUAGUUUCUGACAGGAAACAACACAGUCCCUCUUAGAGAGAACGAAAGACAAAUCUAGUGAUGUAACUGAACAUAUAAACCAAAUAGUCAAUCACCAGUCAGUGUCUUAAUUUUUACGCGAGUAAUUUUGAGUUUUCUAUCAAAAGCCCAUUUUAUCUGGAUUCGAUCCCCGAGAAGCUCAUUCAAGAAUCAUAAAAAUGUUGGUGCUGCUUUGGUUUGGUAUCUACCUGUCAUGAAUCUACUUUGGGAUGCAAUCUACACUUUAUAUUGCGAUCUACGUGUUAUUAAUGUACUUUAGUAUGCGAUCUACAAGAAAAGUUGUACUUAUCAAGAACAAGGAAAAACACGUCUUGGUUUCGAGAGAAAAUGUCUGGUCAGAGUCUGAAGUAUGAGUAGAAUGUCUGUUCUAGUGUUGAAGUUAAAAGAAGAGACCGUGAGACACUUCAACCAAUUAUUCAGAGAGAAGUCCAUUCCGACGACUGGCCAACUUAUUCUAAUUUAAACCAACUCAAAUUUCGCCAUUUUUCCUUAAAUCACUGGCAAUAUUACGUCGAUCCUAACAUCGAAGCACAUACACAAGGAACUGAAAGAUUCUAGCUUGAUGCAAAGAUUCGUAUGUUGAAAAAAAAUGUGAAGCAUCAAUCAAAGAGUAUUUCAAUCGCACCUAGACUACUUCUGUUGGCAGAUGAUGAGAAAAGAAGCUCCUGACCUUUAGAAUUUUUAUUCGAUGUACUGUACGUGCUGUUAAUCGCUAGAAUACGAAUAAAAAGAUUUUUUUUUAUUUUAAGUACAUUUUCUCUGUUAUAUAUAAUUCCAAAAUAAAAUUUGUACGGUGUAGAUACUUUUUCCUUGUCGAUAACAAGCCAAAGUACGGUGUAGAUAUUUUUCUUUAUAGAUGACAAGACAAAGUAGCACCAAAAAUGUUGCGUUCUUCUCUUCCUAAUGUGACAUGGCAUCGUAAGAAUGGUACAUAGAAAACAACCGGGACCAAGAGCAAAAUUAAGAGAGCAGAGACUGGUCGGUGGAAACUAGCACGGCAAUAGUAAGAAACGUAUAAACUCGAACGAGCCCCCUUUUCUGUAAUGUGAUAUCCUUUAGAGAUGGCGAACACUGAUGUGCAAUAAAUAUAUAAAUAAAUAAUAAAUAGAUAAAUAAAUACAAAUAAAAAUAUACAAAAUAACACUGAACAUACGUACCACUGUAUGUGGAAAAAAAAAAAAAAAGGCUACUCGUGCUCCGCUACUCCUGGAUGGUUAAGUCUACUGUGUGCGUGUGUGGGUGUGUUUAAAAGGGUGGGCGUGUUUUUCCAUAGCAAGACAAAGGCCCCCUCCUGCCUCCAUGAAUCACAAUAUUAUCUCACUAUGCUACGUCUUGGCUGCAAAUUUUUCAAUCUCUCCCCUUCAUGCCUGCCUGUUUUCCACUCCAAGUCUGGUCUCCAUCCCGUUCCUGCUUUCCACUCCUGUCAGACAUCCACCAUUACUUCUGGGGUGAGAAAAAUUGGUGGAGAUGGCUCUGAAGGCCCAACUUCAUAGAAAUUGUUUUAGCAAGAAACGAGAUGUGAUGUUUCCAGUUUAGAUAUUUAUUAAAGGAUGUUCAGUGUAGAAGAGAGGAGACAGUUUAUCAACGUAUCAGUGAAGAAGAGAGGAUAGUUAUUUUGAAGUUUGUAUCGAGUUGAAAGAUAGAGAAAUUAUAUUUAUGAGACACUGAACAACAAUACUAAGUUUGCGCUGGCCCAAUCAGGAACUUGAGAAAGAUCAGAAGUCAGACGCUCUGUUGCUUCCUUGCAUGAGUUCUUAAAUUCCUGAAGAGUUGGGUGUCUAACAAAAGACAGAAAAAUGGAAAUUGGUAUCGCUGGUCACCAUCCCUGCCUGGUCUUCACCCCUUGCCUGGUCCCCAUCUCUGCCUGGUCUCCACCCCUGCUUGGUCUUCACCCGUACUUGGUCUUCACCCGUAUUUGGUCUUCACCCCUUGCCGAGUCUCCAUCCCUGCCUGGUCUCCACCCCUGCCUGGUCUCCAUCCCUGCCUGGUGUCCAUCCUCGACUGGUUUCCACCUCUUUCCUGGUCUCCAUCCCUGCUUGGUCUCCAUCCUUGCCUGGUCUCCACCCUUUCCUGGUCUCUAUCCCUGCUUGGUCUCUACCCCUGCAUGGUCUCCAUCCUUGCCUGGUCUCCACCUCUUUCUUGGUCUCCACUCCAGCCUCAUCUUCAUCUAUGUCUGGUCUCUGCCACUUGUUUGGUCUCCACUCCUGCCUGGUCGCCAUCCCUGCCUAGUCUCCAUCCCUGCCUAGUCUCCAUUCCUGCCUGAUCUUCAUCCCCUGCUUGAUCUCCAUUCCUGCCUGAUCUUCAUCCCCUGCUUGAUCUCCAUCCCUGCCUGGUUUCCACCCUUGCCUGGUCUCCAUUCCUGCCUGGUCUCCAUUGCUGCCUGGUCUUUAUUCCCCACUUGAUCUCCAUCCCUGCCUGGUCUCCAUCCUUGCCUGGUCUUCAUCCCUGCCUGUCUCCACUCCUGCCUGGUUUCCACCCGUGCUUGGUUUCCAUCCCUACCUGGUCUCAACCCCCUUCUUGGUCUCUAUCCCUGAUUCAUCUCCACCCCUGCCUGGUCUCCAACCCUUGCUUGGUCUCUGUUCCUGCCUUGUCUCCAUCCCUGUCGGGUCUCCACACCUUGCUUAGUCUCCAUCCCUCCCUGGUCUCCAUCGCUGCUUGUUCUCCAUCCCCUCCCUCUUGGUCUCCAUCCUUGCCUUGCCCCCAUCCCUGCCUGGUCUCCACCCUUUGCUCGGUCUCCAUCCCUGCCUGGUCUCCACCCCUUGCUUGAUCUCCAUCCAUGCCUCAUCCCCACCACAGCUUGGUCUCCACCCAUUGCUUAGUCUCCAUCCCUGCCUCAUCCCCAUCCCUGUCUGGUUUCCACCCCUUGCUUGGCCUCCAUCCCUACCUCGUCUUCACCUCUGCCUGGUCUCCACCCCUUGUUUGUUCUCCAUCCCUGCCUGGUCUCCAUUCCUUGCUUGGUUUCCACUCCUGCCUGGUUUCCAUCCCUGCCUGGUCUCCAUCCCUGCCUGGUUUUCAGUUUUUGCCUGGUUUCCACCCCUGCCUGGUCUCCAUCCCUGCCUGGUUUCCAUCCCUGUCUAGUCUCCAUGCCAUGCCUGGUCUCCAUUCCUGCCUGGUCUUUAAUCUUUGCCUGGUCUCCAUUCCUGCCUGGUCUCUAUCCCUGCCUAGUUUCCAUGCCUUGCCUGGUCUCCAUCCCUGCCUGGUGUUCACCCCUGCAUGGUCUCCAUCCCUGCCUGGUUUUCACUCUUUGCCUGGUCUCCACUCCUUGCUUGGUCUCCAUCCCUGCCUGAUCUGGUCUCCACCCCCCCACUUGGUGUCCAUCCCUCCCUGGUCUCUAUCCCUGCUUGGUUUUCACCCUUGCCUUGUCUCUAUCCUUGCUUGGUCUCCACCCCUACCUGGUUUCUAUCUCUGCCUGUUCUCUUAGUCUCUGCCUGGUCUCUAUCCCUGCCUGGUCUCCAUCCCUGCCUUAAGCUCCACCCCAUGCUUGGUCUCCAUCCCUACCUGUUCUCCAUUCCUGCCUGGUCUCCACCCCUCCCUAGCCUAGUUUUCACCCAUGCCUGAUGUCCAUCCCUGCCUGGCAUUUACCUUGUACUAGUUUCCAUAGUGCAUAUGGUCUUCUGUUUCUUGUCCCCAGCCCUUAUUUGGUUUCUUCCUUUAUAUGGUCUCCAUUUUCAGUUUUGUCUAUACCCCUGUCUGAUCUCUAUUUUAAAAACAUUAGAACUUAAAGGAAGCUACAAGAAGUUGGUAAUACUAUGCAUGGCAGUCAUGUAUAAAACAUACACAUACUUAUAUCCACCAAUCAUCUCUAUCUAUGAAUUUAUCUUAUCAAGAUCAGGCAUGCCUGACUGUGGUUUGGCAGCUGCUCCUGCUAAUUCACAAUUUUCAGCUGAACCUGAACUACAAUGGCUUAAACUUCACAAGCAUGACUGUGAGUGUGUGGGCAAGAGCAUCAUGUGAAGAAUUCACCAAUACACCAAAGCUUUCUUCAUAAAAUGACAAGUUGGGAGAGUUCAUCCCAGCCAAUAUACCCCUGCCAGCCAAGAGACAGAUAAUGAAGAUGUCACAGCCAUCACACUGGAGCUCAACAACAAGAAAGUCUGUAUAGCUGACCCCAUAACUACAGCUGACAUUGACUGCAUGCAUCACCUGGGUCAAAGGAGAAAGGAUAGGACAGCUCACCCCAUCUUGGCACGGCUCUCCACCUACCACAUUCAAACCCAUAUAUUCAAACAUUGAGUGAUGCUCAACCCAAAGCAUCAUCAUGGACCCCCUGGCAAUCCCUUGGGGAGAAGGGAAAAUGUGGGAGAGGCAGUUGAGAGUGAGGAGGCUGAUUCAGGCCCAGUGAGACCUGGCCCAGAUACAAGAAGACAGACGAUGUUCAUUCAGUGAGGAUUUGACAAAAAGUAAGGCAAAGAUGUUAUGGAUUUGUUGGAAAGCUCAGAGAGAUGACAAAGUGAAGGGUUGUUGGUCUGUUGACAGGAAUGUGAUUAUUAAAGACAAACAUGGCAGAGUCCAUCAAGUUAAAACUUACCAGGAUCUAGAGGCUGCCUACUGUAUGAGAAUCACUCAAACUCGUGUAAUUAUCAACUUUUGAAUCACCAUACAUUUACAGUAAUUACUAUGUAAUGUACUCUUUCAUCAUAUUCUUCUGCACUUUCUUCCUUUUUAUCUUUUCAAAAUAUUUUUCUACAUCACUAACAUUUUUAUCAACAAACAAGAUUCAUGUAACUGAUAAGAUAUGCUAUAACCUUUUCAGCGUCAAUGAUAUUGUAACUUAAUUAUUUUUAUUCCACGUGAGUUUGUGCAGUAUUAAAUGUUAUUUGCCCAGUAUCCAGUGCUUACAUAGAUGCUUGAAAAAAAUAUUAUUGAUAUGGAUAAAAAUGGCUGACCAAAAGUGUGUCUUGUGUGGGCAGUUGAUAGUUCAAUUUUAUGAUGUGGAUGAGAGCUCCUCAGGUGAGGAUCAUUCAUGUGAAAACCAUGCUGAAAACAUUUCUCCACCUAAUGUAGUACUAUCAUUGGGAAAUCUAAAACACCUACAUAACAUUGAAUUAAUUCCUGUUGAUAUACAUAGAUGUGACACACAUUCUCCUCUGUGUGAUGCUGAUGCUGAUUUAAACUACUGAAAUCUAGUGAGACAACAAAAUUUAGAAUUUAACUAUUUCUCAGAAUGUCAGUUCAAUAAACUAAUUGAGGAUAAAUGUAUUGCCCCAGA